CGGACGGGUGAGUAAUGCCUAGGAAUCUGCCUGGUAGUGGGGGACGAACGUUUCGAAAGGAACGCUAAUACCGCAUACGUCCUACGGGAGAAAGCAGGGACCUUCGGGCCUUGCGCUAUCAGAUGAGCCUAGGUCGGAUUAGCUAGUUGGUGAGGUAAUGGCUCACCAAGGCGACGAUCCGUAACUGGUCUGAGAGGAUGAUCAGUCACACUGGAACUGAGACACGGUCCAGACUCCUACGGGAGGCAGCAGCU
rnacentral:rRNA from 1 species